CCUACGGGCGGCUGCAGUAGGGAAUCUUUCACAAUGGGCGAAAGCCUGAUGGAGCAACGCCGCGUGCAGGAUGAAGGCCUUCGGGUUGUAAACUGCUUUUAUAAGCGAGAAAUAUGAUGGUAACUUAUGAAUAAGGAUCGGCUAACUACGUGCCAGCAGCCGCGGUCAUACGUAGGAUCCGAGCAUUAUCCGGAGUGACUGGGUGUAAAGAGUGGCGUAGGUGGCAUAAUAAGUAGCUAGUGAAAUCUGGUGGCUCAACCAUUCAGACUAUUAGCUAAACUGUUAAGCUCGAGACCGUUAGGGGUAACUGGAAUGUCUAGUGUAGGAGUGAAAUGCGUAGAUAUUAGAAGGAACACCAAGAGCGUAGGCAGGUUACUGGGACGGUUCUGACACUAAGGCACGAAAGCGUAGGGAGCAAACGGGAUUAGAUACCCGUGUAGUC
rnacentral:rRNA from 1 species